rnacentral:rRNA from 1 species
UACGUAGGGGGCAAGCGUUGUCCGGAAUCAUUGGGCGUAAAGAGCGUGUAGGCGGCUUGGCAAGUCUCGCGUGAAAUCCUGCGGCUCAACCGCAGGCGGUCGCGGGAAACUGCCUCGCUAGAGUCCGGAAGAGGAGAGUGGAAUUCCUGGUGUAGCGGUGGAAUGCGCAGAUAUCAGGAAGAACACCCGUGGCGAAGGCGGCUCUCUGGGACGGUACUGACGCUGAGGCG